AUUGUUUUACACUUUUCAUACCUUAAUUGGAUCAGAAUUUCGGGGUUUGGCCUCAAUAUCCAUCUCUUAGAACAAAAAAAGACCCAUUUUUUACAGGAUUAACAACGAUGGAGAUGAGGAAACAGAAUACCGAGUUCAAUAAUUGAAACGCUAAAGAGAAAAAGUAAGGAAAAUGAGAAGUGGUUGUGAAGGAGUUGUGGGUGGUGAGAAUUAGGUGUUGGUGAAAGAAUGAAAGAUAAAUAAGAGCGUGCGUGAGUGUCUGGUUCUUUGUGCUGAAAAAUCCAAAUGGUUAGGGAGGGAGAAGGAGAGACCUCCACUUGUAGGUUGUAUCAAGUAUAAAGAUCCUGAGUGGUAGAAGACACAUGUUUUGUGUAAUCGGAUAGUUGUGGGCGGUGGGGUAAUGGGGUUGCCAUUUGGCUUCACAUAUAUUCUUUAUAAAAAAAAUUUGGUAUAUUAUUCUCAACCAAAUACAUUUUAUAGGUGAAGUGAAUCAAAAUGUAAAGUAUUAUAAUUUUUUCUUAAAAUAUUGUCCAUACAAAGGAAAUACAAAAUUGCAAGAAUGGUUCUGGAGGUUAGGUGAAAAUUGUCAUUUUAAUUUAAAAAAGUUUGGACUAGCAUUUAUGAUCUAAAGGUUUUCAUUUUAUUGCGAACUUUGUCUAUUUUGUUUUGAUUUUUUUAUAAAGUGACGCUUUUACCUUUUUUUCGAUUUUUUUAUUACAAAAUGAAAAAAAAAACCACACAUACACACACACACACACACUCUCUCUCUCUCUCUCUCUCUCUCUCUCGUUCUUGAUAUUGAUCUCCGACGAAGAAAGGAGACUGCCAACCACCACCUUCGUAACCCUCGUUGUCUCCCUCGGGUCGUGUAGCACCACCAAACACCCUUCCCUUUACCCUCCCAACUCCGACAAAUUGUAACGUCCCGAGUUCAGGAGUGCAAGUUCAGGGUUCAAAGUGUAAAUGUGAAAGAGCAACUCGGCGAGUCCAUGGGUGGACUCGACGAGUAGGGUCGCGGUUCUGGUCGUAUGUUUAGUGGCCAACUCGGCGAGUCGGUGGCUGGACUCGGCGAGUUGGUGCUGAGUAGAGAAAACCCUAAUUCGGGGGUUGACCCCUAUAUAAAGAACAUGAUAUCCUCUCCCCCAGCCUCUUUACCUUCCCCUUGAGUUCCAGAAGCCCUAGAUUCAUGUCCUUGUGAGAGAUUGGAGCCUUUGUGGAGGGAAUCUUGGGGAGAAAUCGAAGAGAAAGAAGGUAGAGCAAGGGGCUUUGCAGAGAUUCAGCUUAUUCUUCAGUUGGAGCUUUCAUUUGAGGUAAUAAUCUGUUGUUUGAGCUUUUGUGCAUCUAGAUCUAUCAUUGUGGGGUUUUUGGAGCAUAAAUGAGGUCCAUCUCAAGUUUGGUGUAAGAUCUGAGGUUGCUACCUCAGAUCUAGGUUGUUAAUAAUCCAGAAAGCCAUAAAGUCUAUGCACAAGAGUUGUGGGUGAAGUCCUUUUGUCCCAAACCCUAGCCUUAGAGUGUAAAAUGCUUAGAUCUACUUGGAUUCACGUAAAGUUUGCUACUUUACGUGAUGGAUGGGUUGUAGAAGGGUAGAUCUAUGGUUUGGAUCAUCUGCAUGGCCUGUAAAGUUUCUGUAUGGAUUAAGAUCUAAGGAUACUGUCACACCCCAAAACCAAGAACGGCGGAAACGUUCUGGGGCGGAGGACGCCAUGUAAAGUGUCACAACACAGUAAAUGUAAAUAAGCAAACAACAUCAUCCAUUGCAUUAAAUAUAUAAUUUUAAUACAAGCGUGUUCUGUACAGUUAUAGACACCAAAAUAAUGUAAAACAAAAUAAUAUGAGAUGAGUCUUGGAUGCGCUCUAUCUUCUCAAAAGCUGGCAUCGAUACCUGUCUACUGAUGACUUGAGAAUACAAGUUAUUUUGAAAGCGAGUAUCAGCAUUAAGCUGGUGAGUUCAUAAGUAUUUUAGUGUCGGGUUUGUUAUCAAAACGUUUGAACCUGUCGCAAGUAUAAGUUGUAAAAUGUAUGUAAGUGUUUGUAAAAGUUUGAAUCUCUCAGAAAAACCUAUAUUUUCUAUUAAAGUAGCCUUCUACCAAGGCUUAACUGAUUCGUAUGCUCAUUUGUUGUAAAAGUGUGUAAUUUCCCAAGUGUAACUAUCAUUUAACAAAAUAUAGUUUGUACAUUAAUGUUUAAGUGAGGUUAUCACUAAAAAUAUGUAAUGGGUAAAUCAUUGUAGUACUGUAGUUUUGUAUUAUAGGAACUACUGCUGUACUAACUACCUUAAACCGGAUUUAUAUUAAGGUAUAAUGUGAUAAAUUGCACCAUGCUAUCGACUGGUAACAACGACAUAAUGAAUGGUCGUAAUAAACGAAAUGACGUUUGGCACCCGCAGACCUGCAGGUCCGGCUGUAGCUAGCAGCAAGGUGUAGGAUUGUCAAUCCAGCAUAGAUCUAUACGCAAACUCACGCUCCCCCUCCAAGAGACUCUGGCCACAACUCGAGUCAUGACAUUUAAGUCAUGCUCCGAUUUAAAUCACAGUAAUUUAAGUAUUCUAGUAUGUGUAAUGUAAUGUUUCUCGUUCUAGUAUAGUUGUAUAUGUUCUCCUCCUAGUAUAGUUGUAUAUGUUCUCUUCCUAGUAUAGUUGUAUAUGUUCUCAUAGUAUAGUUGUAUAUGUUCUCAUAGUAUAGUUGUAUAUGUUCUCAUAGUAAUGUAAUGUAUAGACUCAUGAAUGAACUGACUCAUUGAUCUAACAGUUGUAAUAAUAUGAUCCUGUGUUACCCCGAUGGUAACUCACUAAUAAUGUGUCUAGUACGUAUGAAUAUGGAAUUACUUUUAUGUCUAUAUAGGUAUAUUUGAUAUAUAAUUAAUAUUGAAACGACCUUCGGAUGGUCACCCGAAAUCCCACCAGACCACAUCCAAAUCGAGAAAAAGGAAAUAGGGCGGAUGGCCUUCCUAAGCCCUUUAAACAUUAUUUAUACAUCUAUACAUAUAUGGGCAUGCAAUUUAUAAUAUAAAAGCAUAAAUAAGUUUUUAUAAGACAUUUGAAACAUAAGUAUUAAUUCAAGAAAAGAUCGACUUGAUGUCAAUCUAUAAAACAAUUUGAAGGCAUAAGUUUGAUAAAACAGUUUAAGUAUAAGGAACAUUUGUUUGAAUCACAGUUGUAAAUAAGUUUGAAAAGUAAAAGAGUUUGUAAAACAUUUUGAAGUAAAACAGUUUGAUAAACAGUUUGAACAGUGAUAAAAUCAUUGGUUUCCUAGUUAUUAAUCACAUGUGAUUAAUGCAAUCACAUGUGAUUGAAGCAAUAACUAUAUGUAUUUAACUUGUAUCCCCCCCCCAUAAAGUAUUUAAACAUUUAAAAUCAUUUCAAAGGUUGAUUUAAGGGGUAUGAACUCACUUGAUUGAAGUGGUUGAUUUGAAAUAGUCUAGAGAAGAAUCGAGCAGAACUUCGACAGGAAGAGUUGAAAGCGGGGGAAAAAUCUCGGGAUUCUCGGGAAUCUCGGGAAUCUCGGGAACACAAAACCUUCCUUCGGGACUUGAAGGUGAAAACCGGGGCUUCGGGAGGGCUUCGGGAGCUUAACCGCAGAGUUUCAGCACGAGAGAUGGAAGAAUGGAGCACCUAAACCCGGCACCCCAAGAGUUCUAUUUAUAGGGGCAUUUCUGGUGUGCCACGUCGUGGCUAAGGUUGGCCACGUCGUGGGGAGCAAGCCUUAUCCCCUUCCGUUGAUUGGACGCCCUCAGUCACUUGCCGGGUCGCGGCCAAGCUGUGCCACGUCGUGGGGGCCUGACAGCCUCGGAUUUUGGACCCCGAACUUGUAAAAUCCGUAACUUUCGCAUACGAGCUCCGUUUUCGACGUUCUUUAUAUGCACGCGUAGCUGAAAAUGUUAUCUACAACUCUCGUUUAGACUUCAUCGGCAAAUUUUGAUUUAUUUUUAAUUAUUUAUUUUUAACGGGCCGGGACACGAAAAGUCCGUUAAAAAUCCAUAACUUCUUCAUCCGGUGUCCGUUUUCGUCAGACUUUUCGCCGUUGCGCUACUAAUGUUGAGACCUUAGAUUCUCAUUUAGGUUGUUUCGGUCAAAAGUAUCUCGAGCUCUAUUUCGAGUUUUUAGCUGUCUACUGCUAUACCCGAAUCUUGGAAAAAUCAUAACUUCCUCAUCCGAAGUCAGAUUUGGACGUUCUUUUUAUGUACGCUCACGGUUUGAGGUUAUCUAUAACUUUCAUUUAGAUACUUAAGGCUAAAAACUAUUGUAUUGAAACUUCGCGUUUUUCGUUUAAUCGGUGUUGCCGGUUUUGCCGAGAAUCUUCGGUUGGUCAUAACUUCUUCGUUAUAACUCGGAUUUUAGGGUUCUUUAUAUGUACGAAAACCUUGAUACGAUUCCUACUACUUUAUUUAACCCCUAAACUUUGAUAAGAUAAAGUCAUCACAGUUCUCCAUGAUUCUUUCUGCAACACAAUGAAAGAAACCAGAAUCGAACUAUUAAGAAAACAAAAAAAAAACUUCGAAGUUUUUGGUUUUAAUCGAUUGUUUUACACUUUUCAUACCUUAAUUGGAUCAGAAUUUCGGGGUUUGGCCUCAAUAUCCAUCUCUUAGAACAAAAAAAGACCCAUUUUUACAGGAUUAACAACGAUGGAGAUGAGGAAACAGAAUACCGAGUUCAAUAAUUGAAACGCUAAAGAGAAAAAGUAAGGAAAAUGAGAAGUGGUUGUGAAGGAGUUGUGGGUGGUGAGAAUUAGGUGUUGGUGAAAGAAUGAAAGAUAAAUAAGAGCGUGCGUGAGUGUCUGGUUCUUUGUGCUGAAAAAUCCAAAUGGUUAGGGAGGGAGAAGGAGAGACCUCCACUUGUAGGUUGUAUCAGGUAUAAAGAUCCUGAGUGGUAGAAGACACAUGUUUUGUGUAAUCGGAUAGUUGUGGGCGGUGGGGUAAUGGGGUUGCCAUUUGGCUU
rnacentral:lncRNA from 1 species